GACGAACGCUGGCGGCGUGCUUAACACAUGCAAGUCGAACGGAAAGGCCCCUUUGGGGGUACUCGAGUGGCGAACGGGUGAGUAACACGUGAGUAACCUGCCCUUGACUUCGGGAUAACUUCAGGAAACUGGGGCUAAUACCGGAUAGGAAUCCUUGCUGCAUGGUGGGGGUUGGAAAGCUUCGGCGGUUUUGGAUGGACUCGCGGCUUAUCAGCUUGUUGGUGGGGUAGUGGCUUACCAAGGCUUUGACGGGUAGCCGGCCUGAGAGGGCGAGCGGCCACAUUGGGACUGAGAUACGGCCCAGACGCCUACGGGAGGCAGCAGUGGGGAAUAUUGCACAAUGGGCGGAAGCCUGAUGCAGCAACGCCGCGUGCGGGAUGACGGCCUUCGGGUUGUAAAACGCUUUCAGCAGGGGCGAAGCUUGUGGUGACGGUACCUGCAGAAGAAGCACCGGCUAACUACGUG
rnacentral:rRNA from 1 species